rnacentral:rRNA from 1 species
GACGAACGCUGGCGGCGUGCCUAAUACAUGCAAGUAGAACGCUGAAGAGAGGAGCUUACUCUUCUUGGAUGAGUUGCGAACGGGUGAGUAACGCGUAGGUAACCUGCCUUGUAGCGGGGGAUAACUAUUGGAAACGAUAGCUAAUACCGCAUAACAAUGGAUGACACAUGUCAUUUAUUUGAAAGGGGCAAUUGCUCCACUACAAGAUGGACCUGCGUUGUAUUAGCUAGUAGGUGAGGUAAUGGCUCACCUAGGCGACGAUACAUAGCCGACCUGAGAGGGUGAUCGGCCACACUGGGACUGAGACACGGCCCAGACUCCUACGGGAGGCAGCAGUAGGGAAUCUGCGGCAAUGGGGGCAACCCUGACCGAGCAACGCCGCGUGAGUGAAGAAGGUUUUCGGAUCGUAAAGCUCUGUUGUAAGUCAAGAACGGGUGUGAGAGUGGAAAGUUCACACUGUGACGGUAGCUUACCAGAAAGGGACGGCUAACUACGUG